UACGGAGGAUCCAAGCGUUAUCCGGAUUUAUUGGGUUUAAAGGGUGCGUAGGCGGCGCGGUAAGUCGGGUGUGAAAUCUUGGAGCUUAACUCCGAAACUGCAUUCGAUACUGCCGUGCUUGAGGACUGGAGAGGAGACUGGAAUUUACGGUGUAGCGGUGAAAUGCGUAGAUAUCGUAAGGAAGACCAGUGGCGAAGGCGGGUCUCUGGACAGUUCCUGACGC
rnacentral:rRNA from 1 species